CUACGGGAUGCACCAGUGAGGAAUAUUGCACAAUGGGGGGAACCCUGAUGCAGCAACGCCACGUGGAGGAUGACACAUUUCGGUGUGUAAACUCCUUUUAUAUGUCAAGAAAAUGACGGUAGCAUAUGAAUAAGCACCGGCUAACUCCGUGCCAGCAGCCGCGGUAAUACGGAGGGUGCAAGCGUUACUCGGAAUCACUGGGCGUAAAGGACGCGUAGGCGGGUUGGAAAGUCAGGUGUGAAAUCCUACAGCUUAACUGUAGAACUGCACUUGAAACUUCUAAUCUAGAGUAUGGGAGGGGGAGAUGGAAUUAGUGGUGUAGGGGUAAAAUCCGUAGAUAUCACUAGGAAUACCUAAAGCGAAGGCGAUCUCCUGGAACAUUACUGACGCUAAGGCGUGAAAGCGUGGGGAGCAAACAGGAUUAGAUACCCGCGUAGUC
rnacentral:rRNA from 1 species